GAUGAACGCUGGCGGCGUGCCUAAUACAUGCAAGUCGAGCGAACAGACGAGGAGCUUGCUCCUCUGACGUUAGCGGCGGACGGGUGAGUAACACGUGGAUAACCUACCUAUAAGACUGGGAUAACUUCGGGAAACCGGAGCUAAUACCGGAUAAUAUAUUGAACCGCAUGGUUCAAUAGUGAAAGACGGUUUUGCUGUCACUUAUAGAUGGAUCCGCGCCGCCUUAGCUAGUUGGUAAGGUAACAGCUUACCAAGGCAACGAUGCGUAGCCGACCUGAGAGGGGGGUAGGCCACCCCGGAAGUGGAGCAACGACCAGGAUCCUAAGGGAGGGCAGAGGCAGGGAUGUUACGCAAAGGGGGGAAAGAUGGCGGGAGAAACGCGGGGGUGGUGUGGAAGCCCUCGGAUCGUAAAACUCUGUUAUUAGGGAAGAACAAAUGUGUAAGUAACUAUGCACGUCUUGACGGUACCUAAUCAGAAAGCCACGGCUAACUACGUG
rnacentral:rRNA from 1 species